CCCCGAUGUUACUUAAUGAAAAAUAACUUAUCUUUAAAGGCACGGUUGGUAUUGAUGGAUAAUUUUAUACUGUGUUUUUGCUGUUUUGAAAUUCCUUUAGAUAGAAAUGCAGUUUCCGUGCAGUGCUGCUCAGGAGGCGAAACGGCAAAAGUGCAGAAACACAUUGCACAGCAUUGUCCAAAUCAGUGCAGUUUCUCAAGUGGCCACCAGGCUGUGCUGUCUGAUAAGAAAUGUGGCGUCUCUUCAGCAACAGCCUGCACCUCCAGUCUUGAUGAACCCAGUCUGACUGCACCUGAAUGUUGACAAACCGCAGAGGAAGCACCAACAAAGAAGAGCGAUUAAGGGGAGAUUCCUGGCUCGGUGAAGGUAAGAGGCCAUCAGACUUCCUCUCUUUGCACCUCAGAACAACACUCUAUUGACAACACUUAGACUUGGGAGCCCCCAGCUUCAUGGGGGUUACAGGGUCGGCUCCUGAACAGCCAGAACAUCCACAUCCCCUGCUCUUCAGUGAAGAUGUGUGUUUUAAAGGGUCAGCGGGCUGCCACAUGGACUGAGCUGUGUAGGUGAAUGUUACUUAUGGUUUUGGGUAAACUGAUAUUCAUGUGCGUGAUGUUUGAGGCUGAGAGAAAGGACGUUCUCACUGGCAGAGGACAUAAAAAAUGAGUCAGCCAUGUGAGACCUGGGGUCAUGCAGGGUCAGUGUGGCAGUCAGCGGGUUAGCUCCAACAGUGUUUGAAUAAUAUUUGUUCCUGCCUGUUAAGUUAAAGUAUCAAUUUAUGUAAUACGAGUCUGGAACUGAGGUUAUUUGUGAAUGAGGUGAACUGAGCUGAAGAAAACCUGUUCCCCAUCCAUCCAUUUUCUUCUGUUUAUCCAGGGCCUGGUUGCGGGGCCAGG
rnacentral:lncRNA from 1 species